rnacentral:rRNA from 1 species
GUUAAGCGACUAAGCGUACACGGUGGAUGCCCUGGCAGUCAGAGGCGAUGAAGGACGUGCUAAUCUGCGAUAAGCGUCGGUAAGGUGAUAUGAACCGUUAUAACCGGCGAUUUCCGAAUGGGGAAACCCAGUGUGAUUCGUCACACUAUCAUUACGUGAAUACAUAGCGUAAUGAAGCGAACCGGGGGAACUGAAACAUCUAAGUACCCCGAGGAAAAGAAAUCAACCGAGAUUCCCCCAGUAGCGGCGAGCGAACGGGGAGCAGCCCAGAGUCUGAAUCAGCUUGUGUGUUAGUGGAACGGUCUGGAAAGUCCGACGGUACAGGGUGAUAGUCCCGUACACCAAAAUGCACAGGUUGUGAACUCGAAGAGUAGGGCGGGACACGUGGUAUCCUGUCUGAAUAUGGGGGGACCAUCCUCCAAGGCUAAAUACUCCUGACUGACCGAUAGUGAACCAGUACCGUGAGGGAAAGGCGAAAAGAACCCCGGCGAGGGGAGUGAAAAAGAACCUGAAACCGU